GGACGUCCAGUUGUGGAUUAUUCAGUGUUAGUAACACGGGUCGGGCCGAGAACUGUGGUAGUUGUUGGUCACGUGUGUUUUCAUUAUGUUUAAACAUGUUUUGAUUUGAAAUAUCGACAGGAAACAGUCACGUGUGCAAAAAAUAUAAUGUAAAAAUGAACUUAUAUCAAAAAUUAAGUUUAUUAAAAUUGAAACUUAGUUAUCAGCUCCCUGCAGUACCUCAGUGGACCACCGGUUGAAGACUACUCUGAAGUAUAAGAAAUGACUACAUAUUUGUGGUAAAUCGUAUAAAUUCAUGUUUUAUUUAUUUUAUUUGACUUUUAUAACCUUUAUUAGUCAGAGUUUCCUCCGUCACUGCAGAUGUUGAAUUUGUGAAGAACUGUUGACGUCACGUGUAUUCACUCCAGCAGAUUUUUUUUUUUUUAUUUAAAGAUACAAAUAAAUGUUUAUGACGUGACGUUGACAUCGAGUCCAUCUUGUGAUCUCCAGGGAACUGAAACUACUGAACAAUUCGGCUCCACAUCAAACGGCGAUUCGCUGCUCACAGAUCGAUAAAUCGGCAAAACAUCAUGAUAAAUAAAAGAGUGGAGGUUCAUACCUGCUCCGAGAACUCGGCCACCAGGACGAAGUCUCGGUGGAAGUGUGCGGAGGAGCUCCAGGGGCGGCACGGGGGGAGCAGCGGCACCGACAGCUCCUCCGGCAGAACCGCAGCCUCCUGCUCUUCUUCUCCCUCAUCGAACUCCUCCGGGCCGGUGAAGGCCAGCAGGUCCGGAGACCCGAUCAUCUGAGUGACGCUGGAGGAGAGGCGAGCGGGGGGGUCGACCCAUGGAGGGUCGUGACGGAUGACGCACGGCCUUCCGUCGGUGAGUCAGCUGUUCACACAACACCGACCGCCGCGGACUUUUUUAAAAAACUUUUUGCUGAGUAAAUUAACGACACGUGACGCGACGCAUAGGAAAGAUAUAAUUCUGUAAAAAAAAAAAAAA